rnacentral:rRNA from 1 species
GGGUUGUGAGGUUAAGCGACUAAGCGUACACGGUGGAUGCCCUGGCAGUCAGAGGCGAUGAAGGACGUGCUAAUCUGCGAAAAGCGCCGGCGAGGUGAUAUGAACCUUUGACCCGGCGAUGUCCGAAUGGGGAAACCCAGUGUGAUUCGUCACACUAUCGUUAACUGAAUACAUAGGUUAACGAGGCGAACCGGGGGAACUGAAACAUCUAAGUACCCCGAGGAAAAGAAAUCAACCGAGAUUCCCCCAGUAGCGGCGAGCGAACGGGGAGCAGCCCAGAGUCUGAAUCAGCUUGUGUGUUAGUGGAAGCGUCUGGAAAGUCGCACGGUACAGGGUGACAGUCCCGUACACGAAAGCACACAGGCUGUGAACUCGAAGAGUAGGGCGGGACACGUGGUAUCCUGUCUGAAUAUGGGGGGACCAUCCUCCAAGGCUAAAUACUCCUGACUGACCGAUAGUGAACCAGUACCGUGAGGGAAAGGCGAAAAGAACCCCGGCGAGGGGAGUGAAAAAGAACCUGAAACCGUGUACGUACAAGCAGUGGGAGCCUCUUUUAUGGGGUGACUGCGUACCUUUUGUAUAAUGGGUCAGCGACUUAUAUUCUGUAGCAAGGUUAACCGUAUAGGGGAGCCGAAGGGAAACCGAGUCUUAACUGGGCGUUAAGUUGCAGGGUAUAGACCCGAAACCCGGUGAUCUAGCCAUGGGCAGGUUGAAGGUUGGGUAACACUAACUGGAGGACCGAACCGACUAAUGUUGAAAAAUUAGCGGAUGACUUGUGGCUGGGGGUGAAAGGCCAAUCAAACCGGGAGAUAGCUGGUUCUCCCCGAAAGCUAUUUAGGUAGCGCCUCGUGAACUCAUCUUCGGGGGUAGAGCACUGUUUCGGCUAGGGGGCCAUCCCGGCUUACCAACCCGAUGCAAACUACGAAUACCGAAGAAUGUUAUCACGGGAGACACACGGCGGGUGCUAACGUCCGUCGUGAAGAGGGAAACAACCCAGACCGCCAGCUAAGGUCCCAAAGUCAUGGUUAAGUGGGAAACGAUGUGGGAAGGCACAGACAGCCAGGAUGUUGGCUUAGAAGCAGCCAUCAUUUAAAGAAAGCGUAAUAGCUCACUGGUCGAGUCGGCCUGCGCGGAAGAUGUAACGGGGCUAAACCAUGCACCGAAGCUGCGGCAGCGACGCUUAUGCGUUGUUGGGUAGGGGAGCGUUCUGUAAGCCGUUGAAGGUGUCCUGUGAGGGGUGCUGGAGGUAUCAGAAGUGCGAAUGCUGACAUAAGUAACGAUAAAGCGGGUGAAAAGCCCGCUCGCCGGAAGACCAAGGGUUCCUGUCCAACGUUAAUCGGGGCAGGGUGAGUCGACCCCUAAGGCGAGGCCGAAAGGCGUAGUCGAUGGGAAACAGGUUAAUAUUCCUGUACUUGGUGUUACUGCGAAGGGGGGACGGAGAAGGCUAUGUUAGCCGGGCGACGGUUGUCCCGGUUUAAGCAUGUAGGCGGAGGUUCCAGGUAAAUCCGGUUCCUUGUUAACGCUGAGGUGUGAUGACGAGGCACUACGGUGCUGAAGUAACAAAUGCCCUGCUUCCAGGAAAAGCCUCUAAGCAUCAGGUAACAUCAAAUCGUACCCCAAACCGACACAGGUGGUCAGGUAGAGAAUACCAAGGCGCUUGAGAGAACUCGGGUGAAGGAACUAGGCAAAAUGGUGCCGUAACUUCGGGAGAAGGCACGCUGAUAUGUAGGUGAAGCCCCUGCGGGUGGAGCUGAAAUCAGUCGAAGAUACCAGCUGGCUGCAACUGUUUAUUAAAAACACAGCACUGUGCAAACACGAAAGUGGACGUAUACGGUGUGACGCCUGCCCGGUGCCGGAAGGUUAAUUGAUGGGGUUAGCGGUAACGCGAAGCUCUUGAUCGAAGCCCCGGUAAACGGCGGCCGUAACUAUAACGGUCCUAAGGUAGCGAAAUUCCUUGUCGGGUAAGUUCCGACCUGCACGAAUGGCGUAAUGAUGGCCAGGCUGUCUCCACCCGAGACUCAGUGAAAUUGAACUCGCUGUGAAGAUGCAGUGUACCCGCGGCAAGACGGAAAGACCCCGUGAACCUUUACUAUAGCUUGACACUGAACACUGGUCCUUGAUGUGUAGGAUAGGUGGGAGGCUUUGAAGCGUGGACGCCAGUCUGCGUGGAGCCAACCUUGAAAUACCACCCUUUAAUGGCUGGUGUUCUAACGUAGACCCGUGAUCCGGGUUGCGGACAGUGUCUGGUGGGUAGUUUGACUGGGGCGGUCUCCUCCCAAAGAGUAACGGAGGAGCACGAAGGUUAGCUAAUCCUGGUCGGACAUCAGGAGGUUAGUGCAAUGGCAUAAGCUAGCUUGACUGCGAGAGUGACGGCUCGAGCAGGUGCGAAAGCAGGUCAUAGUGAUCCGGUGGUUCUGAAUGGAAGGGCCAUCGCUCAACGGAUAAAAGGUACUCCGGGGAUAACAGGCUGAUACCGCCCAAGAGUUCAUAUCGACGGCGGUGUUUGGCACCUCGAUGUCGGCUCAUCACAUCCUGGGGCUGAAGUAGGUCCCAAGGGUAUGGCUGUUCGCCAUUUAAAGUGGUACGCGAGCUGGGUUUAGAACGUCGUGAGACAGUUCGGUCCCUAUCUGCCGUGGGCGCUGGAGAAUUGAGGGGGGCUGCUCCUAGUACGAGAGGACCGGAGUGGACGCAUCACUGGUGUUCGGGUUGUCAUGCCAAUGGCACUGCCCGGUAGCUAAAUGCGGAAGAGAUAAGUGCUGAAAGCAUCUAAGCACGAAACUUGCCCCGAGAUGAGUUCUCCCUGAGACUUUAAGUCUCCUGAAGGAACGUUGAAGACUACGACGUUGAUAGGUCGGGUGUGUAAGCGCAGCGAUGCGUUGAGCUAACCGAUACUAAUGAACCGUGAGGCUUAACCUUACAACGCCGAAG